GAGCGGCGCACGGGUGCGUAACACGUGGAUAAUCUGCCUGAGUGCUCGGGAUAACCAGUCGAAAGAUUGGCUAAUACCGGAUAAGCCCACGGUUUCUUCGGAGACUGAGGGAAAAGGUGGCCUCUGUAUACAAGCUAUCACAUUCAGAUGAGUCCGCGGCCCAUCAGCUAGUUGGCGGGGUAAUGGCCCACCAAGGCAACGACGGGUAGCUGGUCUGAGAGGACGAUCAGCCACACUGGAACUGAGACACGGUCCAGACUCCUACGGGAGGCAGCAGUGGGGAAUUUUGCGCAAUGGGCGAAAGCCUGACGCAGCAACGCCGCGUGUGUGAUGAAGGUCUUUGGAUUGUAAAGCACUUUCGACCGGGAAGAAAACCCGUUGGCUAACAUCCAACGGCUUGACGGUACCGGGAGAAGAAGCACCGGCUAACUCUGUGCCAGCCGCG
rnacentral:rRNA from 1 species